rnacentral:rRNA from 1 species
UACAGAGGGGGCAAGCGUUAUUCGGAAUUAUUGGGCGUAAAGGGCGCGUAGGCGGCUUUGCAAGUGGCGGGUGAAAUCCCUCGGCUUAACCGAGGAACUGCCUGUCAAACUGCAUGGCUUGAGACCGGGAGAGGUGAGUGGAAUUCCCAGUGUAGCGGUGAAAUGUGUAGAUAUUGGGAGGAACACCAGUGGCGAAGGCGGCUCACUGGACCGGUACUGACGCUGAUGCGCGAAAGCGUGGGGAGCAAACAGG